ACUAGAGUAGCACUCGCAUAUCAAUAAGCGGAGGAAAAGAAACUAACAAGGAUUCCCCUAGUAACGGCGAGUGAAGCGGGAAGAGCUCAAAUUUGGAAUCUUAAAGGGUUUCCCUUUACGAAUUGUAGUUUAAAGAAGUGUUUUCUGUUGAGGUUUUGGUAAAAGUUCUUUGGAAUAGGACAUCAUAGAGGGUGAGAAUCCCGUAUUUGACCUUUACUUUCAACUUUGUGAUACACUUUCAAAGAGUCGGAUUGUUUGGGAAUGCAGUCCAAAAUGGGUGGUAAAUUUCAUCUAAAGCUAAAUAUUGGCGAGAGACCGAUAGCGAACAAGUACCGUGAGGGAAAGAUGAAAAGAACUUUGAAAAGAGAGUUAAACAGUACGUGAAAUUGUCAAAAGGGAAGCGUUUGACACCAGUGUUGUUUUUCUGAAAAUCAAUUAAAGAACUGUUUAUGCUAAGUUGUUUAGACUUUAUCAGCUAUCUGCUUAGUUUUGAGCUUUUCCUUAAUGCACUUUUCGGUUAACAAGUCAACAUCAAUUUCUUUUGCUGUAAAAAAGCUUGAGGAAGGUGGCUUGAGAUUCGUCUUAAGUGUUUAUAGCCUCUUGCCUAUGCAGUCGGAGAGAUUGAGGUCUGCAGCGUAGAUCCUUCGGGGCUAAAUGCAUUUGUGCUAAGUUAUAGCAUUUUAUAGACAACUUGUUGACUAUGAUUUGUCUUGUAGCUUACUCGCUUAUGUUAUUUUACCUACGCUUAGGAUGUUGAACUCUAUCACACACAG
rnacentral:rRNA from 1 species